rnacentral:lncRNA from 1 species
UCAAGCAAAGAAAAAUCUUCUCUCUCAAUAACCUCCAUGGCUAAGACAAGGGCACAGAAUAUUUUUGCUGGUUCUAUUCGAUGCUUGUCACGGCGUGACACACCUUCGAUGAUACAUGGAGAGCUGAGUGCUCCACGACCAUCGGUGAUGGUAGAUCCUAGGUUUGCCGCCCUCGUGCAGUAGGUGAAAAAUCAGGUGGAGGCUGUCUAAGGUCUCCAACAACACAGCAACAAUAGUGGCUGGAAAAGGUCGCACCAUGUGAUGCGCCUUCCAAGCACAGCCACCGAUCGUGAUCUCCAACCUGCCACUCUACGUGGCACUCCCACCGAGCAAGUUCUCCACC